rnacentral:rRNA from 1 species
GACGAACCGUGCGAACGUUAUUCGGAAUCACUGGGCUUAAAGCGCGUGUAGGCGGGAGGGAACGUCGGCCGCUGAAAUCCCCCCGGCUUAACCGGGGAAGGGGCGCCGAUACGGCCUUCCUGGAGGGACGUAGGGGGGAGCUGGAACUUCCGGUGGAGCGGUGAAAUGCGUUGAGAUCGGAAGGAACGCCCGCGGCGAAAGCGAGCUCCUGGACGUCUGCUGACGCUG